CUUCACCGAGCCGAGCCACAACGGACGGUCCGCGUCACGUCCCUUGCCAUAGGUCGCGAUCAGCGCCUGCGCCUC
rfam:Streptomyces sp. MP131-18 scaf_01, whole genome shotgun sequence.